rnacentral:lncRNA from 1 species
GUAUUUUUCAUAGGUGCAUUUAGUGUGCCAAAAAAUAUGAAAACUUGACGUUCGUGACGUCACAUACAAUAUGAAAACUCGACGUUCGUGACGUCACAUACCAAGCAAUGACGUCAUUCAAAAAAUUUACCUAUUUUGAGGAAAAUUUUUCUUAAGCAAAAAAAAAAAAACCAAAACUGACUUUAUGUAAAAAAAAAAAAAAAAAAAAAAAAAAGUAGGGGU